ensembl:lncRNA
AGAGUGCGGUCAGCUCAGAGAGGGAGCUGGGGCUAGUCAGCGCUGUCCGCCCCCAGACCAGGCUCCGGUCUGGUCUGACCCGCCGUGCCCUGCAUCCCGGGCGGCAGCCGCUGUCCACAGUCGUGGUCCCGUGAAGAUGGGGGGCUCGUCCCCAAGGCUGACCAAGGGCAGGAGCCCUCGGAUAGGCUCCAGUCACUGUGCCUCGCCCCACAACCUGUGUGGCGCCCAGGACACGCGCGGUCCUUCAGACGCAGUGAUGUGGUCGCGGGGCCCAGCAAGCAACGAGAAACAGAAAAAAGAGGGAAAACCGCCUCUGACUGACUUUUCCACCUCUUGCACUACAGAGGAUUUGGAAACGGGUGGGAGCGAAAAGGAGAAAGAGCCCUACCUGGAGGGAGUGGGGUGUCAUCCGAGUGCCACUCCCCGUGUGUGGCCGGCCCUGGCUGCCCUCUGCCUGACUCUGCUGUUCCCCGAAACACCCUGCAGUUACGGACCCGCUUGGAGCCCCAGACGCUCUUCCGCACCCCCAGCCCCGCCAGCACUGGGCGGGACACAGAGGACACACAGGCACCGGGGGGGCGGCAGGGGGUGCAGACCACCACUUCUACUUCCCAUUUUAUUUUUUUGUAUUUGCUAAAUAUUAUACAAGGAACACACUCCACUUAGAAUUCACGAAGAAAAGAAAAUCACAAAUGAUAUUUUAAAAGUUAAAAUUGGGGCGCCUGGGUGGCGCAGUCAGUUGAGCGUGGGACUUGUGGCUUCAGCUCAGGUCGUGACCUCCGGGUGGUGGGACCAAGCCCCACGUGGGGCUCUGCGCUGAGCACACAGUCGACGUGAGCUUCUCUCUCCCUCUGUCCCUUCCACUUGUGCUCAGGCCCUUUCUCUCUCAAAUAAAGGAAUUUUAAAAAUCUUUUUAAAAGAUGUUAAAAUAAGCUAUGAGGAAACCUCAGCUUCGGAAAGGAGAUGGGGCCGCCUGCUCCGUGAGCCCCACAUGGGAAGCGACCCCUUCCCACUGGACACCAGGCACUCUGCUGUACAGCGGUCUCCCCAGAGCUCCCCACGGCUCCAGCUCUGCCCUCGUGAUCAAGCCUGACCGCAUUGACCUCUCAUCAGUUACGUACUGCUGCCAAACGAAUGUGGCCCCAAACUCAGUGGCCUAGAGCAGAACAAUCUUUUAUUGUCCUGUGCAGGGUCAGGGGUCAGGAACUGGAAGCGGCUUGACCGUGCGGUCCUGCCCAGGGUCUCUGGGGGUCGCAGCCAGAACGAGGCAGGGGCUGCAUUGUCUCAAGGUUCUGCUGGGGCUGGGGGCCCGUGUUGGAGCCGGAGCGCUGGCCGGGCCGUGGGCCCAAGCAGGGCUGGGAGCAGCCCACCCACUGCAUGGCUGGAACCCUACAGCCUGUUGGGUCUCUGAUGCUCACGGCCUGCUCCAGUUCCCUGUUUCUUCUCAGGUCUGUUCAGAUAGAUUGGAUUGCCAGGAAGUCAUCCGAUUUCUUGAGGAGGUUUUCCCAUUUAUGACCACAGUAUCGGUGUGGACGUGGCAAAUGUGUGGUUCUCUGCUCUUUAACACUGAACGUUGUUUACUUCUCUCUUGUUUUUCCUUAGUCUUGUCAGAAGUUUAUUUCACUGAUCUUUUUAAGAACUAGUUUUUGGUGUUACUAAUUUUAUACUUCCUGAUUUAAUUACCUAAUUCAUUAAGCUUUUCUCUUUAUUAACUUCCUCUUCCUCCUUUUGGUUUCUUCCAUUUGUUUUUUACUUUCUUGGGCACGAUUUCCUUCCUUUUUGGCUAAAUCCAGGCUUCCUUGGAUUUGUGUGCUCCUUGUAGAUAUUCUGCUUCCUUCUGACCUCCAGAGCUGUUGUGCUGGUCUGGCAGUAGAGUAAAUGACCUGUUAUUUCCCUCCGGAAUCCCCUUAGCAUCCAGGACUCACCCCUGCAUGUUUCAAGGUGUCACCCACUUGCUCAUUCAUUCAUUUCAGCAACGUACACUCUUCCCUUUUGCACUGGCUGUUUCAUUAGAUUCAUCGGACGUAACAUGAUGCUGUGGGUCUGCUCUAAGGUUCUAAGCCUGGCCCCCCUUCCCACUUUCCCCUGCAGACAGCAGCACACGCUGCAGAGAGAGCUCGGAGCGGCCACGGUGCAGGGCCAGACAGCUGUGGGACUGUCCUGUAUCUGAAUUUCCAAUCCUGGCCCAGACAGACACCUGCUCGGAAGGGACCGCAUGUAGAAAUGAGCUCAGAGAGCAGUGGCAACACGUUCCUCCGUUUGAAACUGCAAGGCCAAGUAAGAGGGGCUGGCUUAGGUCUGCAAAGGCAGACUGGGUGGUGCCGCUCCAGUGCCCAUGGAUCAGGACUCCCAUUUGCCCAGAGGAUGAAGCCCUUGACCACCAUGAAGUCCUGCAGGAGUGCGCUAAAAUUUUCCCAGUUUUACAGUCUCAACUCUGAACCUUAAAGGAGAUGAAUCCUGAGCCGCUUCCUGUCUGCAUGGCUGCCUUCCAUGUCCUUCUGGUUUUCCUCUUCAAGAUUUCCUGGGGUGGCAGAAGGUGAGGUCCUCAGUGCCCAUGUCAACGGUCAGGAGCCUAUGAAAGGCUGAAGUGGUGGGUUUCAGAGACAUGGCCGACGGUGGGCGCCUCCUCAGUGAGCCCUCCACGGAGGGGCUCCGUGACCCUGAAUUAGAUGCAGCCCCGGUUGGGGCCAGGUCUCAGGAAGCUGGUCUCCAACACCAAGCAUUUCGAUCACACCAAGGCUAUUUUUAUUUCCUGAGAGAAAAAUCUUAUUUUUAUUUUAUUUUUUCUUGGAAAGUUCCCAUUGUUUAGAAAGGGGGAAAAAACCUAACUUUUUGUAUUGGGCUAAACCCAAUUCCUGCCCAUUUCUUUGACACCUGUGCUCCAGAACUAACCACGAUUAUUGCAUUCCUUUAAAAAUAAGUUCCAGCACUACGCUGACCGCUAUCUGAGGCACGUUCUUACCUUAGGAAAUGGUUCCCUUUUCUGGACUCUUCCACCGAUGUAGGAACGGUGUGAUCCACACAGUCUUCGCGGGCCUCCCCGGAAUACCGACGUGGAGGAGGGUGACCGUGGCAGGAGCCUGGGAGGCCUCCCUCAGGACAGCAGGUCACCCGUCUGCGAAGGCCGGCUUUAGAUCGGCCACUCCAGAUGCCUCAACACCUGCUUGGGAAUAGAUUUUAGCUCAGACAGAAGGAAGUCUUCUACGUUAACAUUUAAGCAGUUGAAUUUCAGAGCUGGACGAAUCUUAGGCUCAUUAAUCAUUUCAACCUUCAGGAUAUCUGUAAAACAGAAAAACCUGUAAUUGAGGGCGUCUGGGUGGCUCAGAUGGUUAAGCGUCUGCCUUCGGCUCAGGUCAUGAUCCCAGAGUCCUGGGAUCCAGCCCCGCAUCGGGCUCCCUGCUCCUUGGGAGCCUGCUUCUCCCUCUGCCUCCCUCUCUCUCUCUCUCUCUCUCUGUCUUUCAUGAAUAAAUAAAGAAAGAAAAACCUGUAAUUGAAACCUUCUUUAAAAAUUGUUUUAAACAUUUGAGAUAAUUGGAGAUACACAUGCACUUCUAAGAGAAAACAGCCACGCCAUAUAUGCUGCAUCCAGUCCUCCAGACGUUACCGUAGUCAACAUCACAACCGGGGCCUGACACGGAUUCAGUCAAGACACCAGACAGUCUGCCCCACAGGACCCUUCGGUGUUGUCCUUUUGAGCAUAAUCUGUUAGUGGCCCCAAACAACCGCUAAUCUGCUCUCCAUUUAUAUAAUUUUCAGAUAGAUGGAUCAAAGUGUGCGACCUUUUCUCGCUCGGCAUGCUCCAUGAGGCCCACAAGCUGCUGCAUCCCUUGUUCCGUGGAGUGUCUUGCACGGGCGGGCGCAGCCUGCUUACCCAUUCCGCCACUGCAGGACGUCUGGGGUGUCUAGUUUAGGGCUAUGAGUAAGAGAGCUGCAGCACACAGAGUAUACAGUGACCGGGACGGGGCUGCUUUCAUCUUUUUAUUAUGGAAAUAAAAAAGUUGGUACGAGAGCAGAUGCUGCAGACGCCCAGUGGUAAUAGCCCAGUGGUAAUAAACAACAGGAGCCCAGGGCAGGCAGAGGGGACCCGGGGGAGGCCAUGACCUGGAGGUCAGGCGCUAAGUGGGGAGGACAGGCCAUGCCCAGGGCCCCCAUGGCUCAGGAGGAGGUUGCUGGUGACCCCGACAAGCCUUUGGGUAAAGUGAUGGCGGGAAGGCCGCCUAGAGCCGGUUCAGGAGCAGCAUGGCGGAAAUGUGAAACAGGACAGCCACCUGGAACAAAGUUCAGUGGAGUGACCCCAUGAGCCAGCGACUCCACUCCUAGGUGUGUAUGCAAGAGAACCGAAAACACGUCCACACAGAACUUGUAACAAAUGUUCACGGAAGCAUUUUUCGUGAUAGCCAGAAAGUGGGAACUGCCCAAAUGCCCAUGAGUGGAGGAAUGGAUGAAAAAAACAGGGUCCAUCCAGACAACGGAAUGUUAGUCUCAAAAAGGAGCAAAACUCUGAUAUAGGCUACAACAUGAAUGUACCUCAAAAAAAUGACGCUGAGUGAGAGAAGCCAGACACAAAGUGCACAGGCUGUGUGGUUCCAUUUAUAUGCAACGUCCAGAAGAGGCAAAUCUGUAGAGACGGGGAUCAGUGGUUGGCAGGGGCUGGGACGGGGUGAUGGGGCACGACAGCAACGGCGGCAAGCACCCUAGAGUUAUCGGGGUUGGCUGUAUAUUACUGUGAAUAGGACAAAAACAGUGAUCGGCACACUCUAAAAGUGAAUUUGCUGCUACAUG